CUCAGUUCAAGUCCAUGCUUCGAGAACAAGGAGAUAUUACUUUAAAUACACGGUGGUCAAAGGUGAAGGAUAGCUUAAGAAGUGAUCCUCGUUAUAAGUCUGUUAAGCAUGAAGACAGAGAGACUUUAUUCAAUGAGUAUCUAUCGGAACUGAAGGCUGCUGAACAGGAAGUUGCACGAAUUGCAAAAGCAAAACACGAUGAAGAGGAUAAAUUGAAGGAAAGAGAACGUGCUUUGCGAAAACGUAAAGAAAGAGAAGAACAAGAAGUGGAGAGGGUGCGGUCGAAAGCUCGUAGAAAAGAAGCUGUUGAAUCUUAUCAAGCCUUGCUGGUUGAAAUAAUUAAGGAUCCUCAGGCUUCUUGGACAGAGUCAAAACCUAAAUUAGAGAAGGAUCCCCAAGGACGUGCAGCUAAUCCUCAUUUGGAUCAGUCUGACUUGGAAAAGCUUUUCCGGGAACAUGUGAAGGUGUUGUAUGAGCGGUGUGUACAAGAGUUCAAAGUUUUGUUAGCCGAGGUCAUAACUGUUGAAGCUUGUUCACGAGAGACAGAAGAUGGUAAAACAGUUGCAAAUUCUUGGUCAACAGCGAAACAAGUACUCAAAGGUGAUCUCAGGUAUUCAAAAAUGGCAAGAAAAGAUAGUGAAACCUUAUGGCGCAGAUAUGUUGAGGAUAUUCAUCGGAGGCAAAAGUCAACACUCGAUGAAGCAGACAAGGCAAGAAGUAAAGGAUCUUCUGAUUCAAGGAGAAGGUGAAGUGAAGAAGCAGUAAAUGUAACUAUUUCUACCUUUCUCGACCUUUCGUCUAAGAUCAAGAGUAGUAGUCCUCAAGCAUUUAGAUUCAUCUAUCUUUUAAGAGUCGUUAGGAAACGGAGUACUUUCGCCAGUUCCUUGGCAGUUUAUUU
rnacentral:misc_RNA from 1 species